UGUAGUGAGCUGGCCUGGGCCCAGGUCAUGAAGGAUGAGUUUCAUGUGGAAUCAUUGCCCCAUGGACUCGCCCUCAGGCUGCUCCAGGAAGAGCGACAUGAAGAUGACAGGGCUCCUGAGCAUGUUCAAAGAGUGCAAAGGCACCUAAUAAAAGACCUAGUCUAUGAACAUUAGAAGGAUUGUCACAAGGGACCAUCAGCUGCCAGAAAUGUGUCACUUCCAGCACUCCUCCACAUUUCAUGGAACAUCUUAUUUGGAUAAAACUUAAAUUAUUACCACACUACUCUGCGCACACUUU
rnacentral:lncRNA from 1 species